rnacentral:rRNA from 1 species
UACGUAGGGGGCAAGCGUUGUCCGGAAUCAUUGGGCGUAAAGCGCGUGUAGGCGGUUCGGUAAGUCUGCUGUGAAAGUCCAGGGCUCAACCCUGGGAUGCCGGUGGAUACUGUCGGGCUAGAGUACGGAAGAGGCGAGUGGAAUUCCCGGUGUAGCGGUGAAAUGCGCAGAUAUCGGGAGGAACACCGGUGGCGAAGGCGGGGCUCUGGGCAGUAACUGACGCUGAGGAGCGAAAGCGUGGGGAGCGAACAGG